UGCAUGUGUAAGUAUAAAUAAUUCUACUUUGAAACUGCGAAUGGCUCAUUAUAUCAGUUAUAGUUUAUUAGAAAUAAUUUACUACUUGGAUAACCGUAGUAAUUCUAGGGCUAAUACAUGAGUAAAUCCUCGACUUUGAAGAGGUGUGUUUAUUAGUAUGAAAACCAUAUGCUUUUGCAUAAUAGUGAGUAAUAAUAACCUUUCAUAUCGUAUGUUGUAAUAACGAUAGUUCUUUCAAGUUUCUGCCCUAUCAGCUUUCGAUGGUAGUGCAUUGGACUACCAUGGCAGUAACGGGUAACGAAGAAUUUGGGUUCGAUUUCGGAGAGGGAGCCUGAGAGAUGGCUACCACAUCCAAGGAAGGCAGCAGGCGCGUAAAUUACCCAAUCCUGACAUAGGGAGGUAGUGACAAUAAAUCACAAUGCGGGACUUUUAGUUUUGCAAUUGGAUUGAGAACAAUGUAAAAGAGUUAUCGAUAAACAAUUGGAGGGCAAGUCUGGUGCCAGCAGCCGCGGUAAUUCCAGCUCCAAUAGCGUAUAU
rnacentral:rRNA from 1 species